UGCUGCCCGCUGCGACAACCGAGAAACUGUGAACGACAGUAAAGCGAGCUGGACGGCCGGGACAGAGGGCGGGGGACGGGCGGAGAGGGGGUCGCUAGGCCACGGGAAGAAGUGACUCCCCCGGAUGGAGGGAGUGGUACGGGCCUCCCGGCGGGCCUCGAGGGCGGCCCCUGGCGGGGAUGUGGGCUGCGCUGAUUGGCCAGCGCGACUUGAAGGGGCCGUGGCGGGAAAGCGCCCGGGGCCUGUGGCAGUGUCGCGUCGUGUCGCGAUUGUAUUGCUACGGCGUGUGGGGCUGUGUCACACCGUGUCGUGCUGUGUCACACCGUGUCGUGCUGUGUCACACCGUGCCACGCUGUCUGGCGCUGUACCAUGCCAUGCCUGCCGUCGCUCACUGACAGCGAGCCCCUCGAGGAAAAGAGGAAUGGGUUGCCUGGCCCAGAGCCAACAGGAGUGAAGUCAGGGAAUGGACCAGUGACUGAGGAAAGGUGAUUUUGGAAGUGGGAGAUGACCACCACUGACUCAUUGACCGCCUACCCCAGACUCAAAUGAGGGGAAGAACUCUGCCUGCGGACUAACUAGCAUGAAACACAAGAAACAUAACUAGGAAGUAAGGGAUUGAGUAAUGAAUAGCAAAAAGUUCUGUAAUUUGCAAUCAAUGAAUGCUAAUAGCUUUGUUAAAAUGUAUAAAUAAUGUAAAGUCUCGAUGUGUGAGGAGCCAGCCUUUUGUGGGUUAUCACCUAGCUCCCUACUUUGUGCAAAUUAGAAAAAAACACCCAAAAAUACCUCCCCUCGGUGUGUGAAUUGGUGCUGCACACCGGGGAAGAAGCCCAUGCUUAGGACAACAAUCCAGUGCCAGAGCCAUGUAGUGCUGGGUCUUGUUUUCCAUUUGUUCAUUUCUUCCCCCUUGUUUUCCCUUAAGUACUGAAUAAAAAGAGACAAAAAACAA